rnacentral:rRNA from 1 species
AGCGUAGACGGAUGGACAAGUCUGAUGUGAAAGGCUGGGGCUCAACCCCGGGACUGCAUUGGAAACUGCCCGUCUUGAGUGCCGGAGAGGUAAGCGGAAUUCCUAGUGUAGCGGUGAGAUGCGUAGAUAUUAGGAGGAACACCAGUGGCGAAGGCGGCUUACUGGACGGUAACUGACGUUGAGGCUCGAAAGCGUGGGGAGCAAACA